rnacentral:rRNA from 1 species
AUUGAACGCUGGCGGCGUGCCUAACACAUGCAAGUCGAGCGGUAACAGGUGUAGCAAUACAUGCUGACGAGCGGCGAACGGGUGAGUAAUGCUUCGGAAUCUACCUUAUGGUGGGGAAUAACUAGCCGAAAGGUUAGCUAAUACCGCAUACGUCCUACGGGAGAAAGCAGGGGAUCGCAAGACCUUGCGCCAAAAGAUGAGCCGAAGUCGGAUUAGCUAGUUGGUAGGGUAACGGCCUACCAAGGCGACGAUCCGUAGCUGGUCUGAGAGGACGACCAGCCACACUGGGACUGAGACACGGCCCAGACUCCGACGGGAGGCAGCAGUGGGGAAUAUUGGACAAUGGGGGAAACCCUGAUCCAGCGACGCCGCGUGUGUGAAGAAGGCCUGCGGGUUGUAAAGCACUUUUAGUGGGGAUGAAAUGUGCAGGGUUAAUACCUCUGCAUUUUGACCUAACCCACAGAAAGAGCACCGGCUAACUCUGUGCCAGCAGCCGCGGUAA